CUGACAAGUCAGAAGGAUGAUGCUUGAACCAAAAGAUGUUGAAUAGUUUUGACAGUGCAUGGCAAUGUGGCUGGAAUUAAGCCAAAGAGAGGGUGAUAAUUUUGGUGAAGUACAUGAGGAAGGACAACAGCCAGAAAAUACUUGGACAAGAGCCUUAGCAGCCUGGACAAACCAUAAAACCUGAGUCUUUGAACAUUAUGUGGGUAAAAGAGACAAGACUUGAGGCAAGACUUGGACUUGACCUGUGUGUGUAGGUCAGUGAAGAUGCCAGGCUCAAAAUGUCAGGUUGGAGAUGUUGAUUUUAGCCUCUCUGGGGCUGAUCCAGCUACCCCUGAGCUUUGUGUGGUCUUGCAAUUGAUGCUGCGCUAGCACUGAGUCUUCUGUGCUUAAGUCUGUGCACUGAGGAGAUUAUAAGAUCCAUUGGCCUGGUUACAAGAUCCACAAAUAUUGCCUAUGGACUUUACAAGUUCUGUAUGCCUCCCAUGCUUCCCAUGAACACACAGACUACACAUACAUUCUUCCACAAGGACAUAAUACUUGUGACUAUUGAUGGCUGAUAAUCUAACACUGAUAGUAUGUUGACAUAAAAUAUUUUCUCUGUCUGAAGUGUCAUUGCUCCUUCAAGAAGUGGUGUGAGAACCCUUCUACUCUAGCAUCAUUUGGGGACUGCACUUUUUUAUCACACAAUUAUUAUUUAAUGAUUACUCUGUUCCUGCACAUACUUGUU